CGCCAUGACUGGCAUCCGAGCGCGGCGGUCUUCCGCGGAGCCACGCGGGUGCAGCUGAGCUCAGGGACUGCCGAAAGUGAAAGUGGCAUCACGGAAAUAACCAGUACUGUGGCUUGGUUACCGCCGAUCCUACAGCGAGGCGCAAAGUGCUUAUGACACCAAAGGUCCUGAAACAAAAGUCUCUAAAGGCAACACAGCUCCGGGUGGCCCUUGCUUUGACGCGGAGUGAGACUUUGAGAUCUCAAAACCCAAAAAAGGCCUCGACCACCAGAAUCCAGAAUCCCAGCCUCUGCAGUUGUUCAACAUCGCCCUGACCCUCAUCCCCAUCCUGCUCUGUAUGUACCCAACGUGGACAUCUUAUGUUUGCCCAGCCGGUACUCUGCCCUCCUGCUCUUGAUGACAGCAUCGCAAUUUCCUCCGAAGAACCAUUCCAUUACUUGCCAACGUGAGGUUCUGUCCACCAGGGGUGGGCAGUGCACCCAGGACCAUGGCCACUUAGAGAGACCACCACACUAACCACAGUGGAUGGGUCAGGUUGGGAUUUCACUGGGGUGGAAGGGAAGAAGCAGGCACUGAGGACCAUAUCCACCUCUAGCUGUUGGGCAGCCAUCUGAUGUUGGGUGGGGAGAGGCUGCAUGAGAGUACAGCCAAGAGAGAGGAGAGAGGAGCAGAGAGAUGGAAAGGGAGCCCCACACUCACCUAAGACAGCAAACCUAGUCAAUAAAUGCUGAGUGUGUUUUGACUGCUCCACCGACUGGCUGUUCCCCCAUCUCUCUUUCUUCUCUUCUCCUUCUUCUCCUUCUUCUUCCUCUUCCUCUUCUUCUUCUUCUUCCUCUUCUUCUUCUUUUUCUCCUUCUUCUCCUUCUCCUUCUUCUUCUUCCUCUUCCUCUUCUUCUUCUUCUUCCUCUUCUUCUUCUUUUUCUCCUUCUUCUCCUUCUCCUUCUUCUUCUUCCUCUUCCUCUUCUUCUCCUUCUUCUCCCUCUUCUCCUUCUUCUUCUUCUUCCUCUUCUUCUUCUUUUUCUCCUUCUUCUCCUCCUUCUUCUUCUUCUUCUUCUUUUUUUUUUUUUUUGCAGUACGUGGGCCUCUCACUGUUGUGGCCUCUCCCGUUGCGGAGCACAGGCUCCAGACGCGCAGGCUCAGCGGCCACGGCUCACGGGCGCAGCCGCUCUGCAGCAUGUGGGAUCUUCCCGGACCAGGGCACGAACCCGUGUCCCCUGCAUCGGCAGGCGGACUCUCAACCACUACGCCACCAGGGAAGCCCUUCUUCUUCUUCUCCUUCUUCUUCUUCUCCUUCUUCUUCUUCUUUCUUCUCCUCCUCCUCCCCCUCCCCCCUCCUCCUCCCCCUCCCCCUCCUCCUCCCCCUCCCCCUCCCCCUCUCCCUCCUCCUCCUCCUUCUCCUCCUCCUCCUUCUUCUCUCCCUCCUUCCCUCUCUCUCACCCCACCGCCCAGGCCUUCCUAUUCCCUGAGACACAACUAUAAUGAAAUUAGGCCAAUUGGCAACCCUACAGUGGCCUCUAAGUGUUGAAGGGAAAGGAGGAGUCGCAUGUCUCUUUAAAUAAAAAGCUAGAAAUGAGAAAGCAUAGUGAGGAAGGCAUAUUGAGAGCCGAUAUAAGAAAAAAGCUAGGCCUCUCUGCCAAACAGGCAGCCAAGUUGUGAAUGCAAAGGAAAAGUUCUUGAAGGAAAUUAAAGGGGCUAUUCCAGUGAGCAUACUAAUAAGAGAGCAAAACAGCCUUACUGCUGAUAUGGAGAAAGUUUCAGUGGUCUGGAUAGAAGAUUAAACAAACCACGACAUUCACUUAAGCCAGAGACUAAUCUAGAGCAAGGCCCUAAUUCUCUAUAACGUGAUGAAGGCUGAGAGAAGUAAGGAAGCUGCAGAAGAAAAGUUUGAAUCUAGCAGAGGUUGGCUCAUCAGGUUUAAGGAAAGAAGCCGUCUCCAUAACAUAGAAGUGCAAGGUGAAGCUGCAAGAGCUGAUGUAGAAGCUGCCAGUUAUCCAGAAGAUCUAGCUAAGGUCAUUCAUGAAGGCGGCUAUGCUAGACAACAGCUUUUCAGUGUUGAUGAAACAGCCUUAUAUUGGGAGAAGGUGUCAUCUAGGACUUUCAUAGCUAGAGAGGAGAAGUCAGUGCCUGGCUUCUAAGCUUCAGAGGACAGGCUGACUCUCUUGUUAGGGGCUAAUGCAGCUGGUGACUUUAAGCUGAAGCCAGUGCUCAUUUACCAUUCCAAAAAAACUUGCUAAAUCUGCUCUGCCUGUGCUCUUUAAAUGGAACCAGAAAGCCUAGAUGAUAGCAUAUCUGUUUACAGCAUGGUUUACUGAAUACUUUAAGCCCAGUGUUGAGACCUACUGCUCAGAAAAAUAUUACUGCUCAUUGACAAUGCACCUCAUCACCCAAGAGCUUUGAUGGAGAUGUACAACAAGAUUAGUGUUGUGUUCACUCCUGCUAACACAACGUUCAUUGUUCAGCCCGUGGAUCAACGAGUCAUGUUGACUUUCAAGUCCUAUUAUUUAAGAAAUACAUUUUGAGGGCUUCCACGGUGGCGCAGUGGUUGAGAGUCCGCCUGCCGAUGCAGGGGACACGGGUUCGUGCCCCGGUCCGGGAAGAUCCCAUAUGCCGCGGAGCGGCGGGGCCUGUGAGCCAUGGCCGCUGAGCCUGCGCGUCUGGAACCUGUGCUCCGCAACGGAAGAGGCCACAGCAGUAAGAGGCACGCGUACCGCAAAAAAAAAAAAAAAAAGAAGAAGAAAUACAUUUUGUAAGGCUAUAGCUGCCAUAGAUAAUGAUUCCUCUGAUGGAUAUGGGCAAAGGCAAUUGAAAACCUUCUAGAAAGGAUUUGCCACUCUAGAUGCCAUUAAGAACAUCAUGAUUCAUGGGAAGAGGUCAAAAUAUCAACAUUAACAGGAGUUUGGAAGAUGCUGAUUCCAAACUGCAUGGAUGACUUUGAGGGGUUCAAGACUUCAGUGGAGGAAGUAACUGCAGUUGUGGUGGAAAUAGCAAGAGAACUAGAAUUAGAAGUGGAGCCUGAAGAUGUGACUGAAUUCCUGCAGUCUCAGGAUAAAACUCUAAUGGAUGAGGAGUUGCUUCUUAUGGAUGAGCAAAGAAAGUGGUUUCUUGAGGUGGAAUCUCCUCCUGGGGAAGAUGCUGUGAAGAUGGUUGAAAUGACAACAAAGAACUGAGAAUAUUACAUAAACUUAGUUGAUUAAGCAGCAGCAGGGUUUGAGAGGAUUGACUCCAAUUUUAAAAGAAUUGUGGGAAAAUGCUAUCAAACAGCAUUGCAUGCUACAGAGAAAUUGUUUGUGAAAGGAAGAGUCAAUUGAUGUGGCAAACUUCAUUGUUGUCUUAUUUUAAGGAAUCGUCACAGCUACCUCAUCCUUCAGUAAUUACUACCCUGAUCAGUGAGCAGCCAACAACAUUGAAGCAAGACCCUCCACCAGCAAAAAGAUGAUGACUCAGAUGAUGUACACGGGCCUCUCACUGUUGUGGCCUCUCCUGUUGUGGAGCACAGGCUCUGGACGCACAGGCUCAGCGGCCAUGGCUCAUGGGCCCAGCCGCUCCGUGACAUGUGGGAUCUUCCCAGAUCGGGGCACAAACCUGUGUCCUCUGCAUCGGCAGGCGGACUCUCAACCACUGCGCCACCAGGGAAGCCCUAAAAUUAUAUUCUUAUUACAACUAUAUUAUUUUUUACAAGGCCAAAAAUAAUGCACAAAUUAUCUAGACUACAGGAGGUGAUUGUUGCCAGUGGUGAGACUCAGGGUAAUUGUAAAUGUUAUUUUGACUUUUAUACGCUUUCCAAAUAGAAGCAUUUAUUAUUUGUGUAAAUAGUAAAAAAAAAAAAACGAAAAAAAGUAUAAUUAUUUUAAAGUAAAAAGUAGCUGCUCUAGGGCAGGGAGACUGAUGAGCUGAGCCUAUCUCUUUCUGGGAGACUCCCAGGGUUGGGUGGAGACAAGAAUGAUAAUCUGCUGUCCUUAUUCAAGGGCCCCAGGACUCCACCCCCAGAGCAGGGGCUCCCUGGCCCCAGUCGCUGGUUGUCAGAUGGAACACACUCCCUCCCAGCCAGACGCAGCCUGGGCCCUGAAGGUCUAGCCCUGGACGUGGGUCUCUCCUGUGGCUGCUUGAAAUGCUCAGAGAGAUAUGGAGGGGGCCUUCUAUCACUCAUUACCCGGCCUGCUCCAACCAGAAAAAUCCUCACUUCCAUCACUGUCACCCUCUCCUACUUCUACUCCAUGGGGCACUUUUGGUAACGAUGGUGAUGCUGGUGGAUGAUAAUAUCUUACCAAGUCCCUCCGACACACCAGUCCUAUUAUGUAGAGCCUUUCUGUGAAUCCUUGCAAUGAGGUCUGUACCACCUUGAGAGAUACAUACAGUUAUCCUCACUUUACAGAUCAGGAGAUUUGGAGAGAUUAAGCCGUUUUCUCAAGCUCAUACAACUACUAAAUGGUAGAUCCACUUAGUGUUGACUAUUCCCAGUUCGUGCUCUUACCCACCGUCUUGAUGUAGGUUGAACGCCCAGCCUGUGCUCUAAGCCAUACUGUCUCCCAUCCUCCUGCAGGGGCCACCCCACUAUUUCAGCUGGCGAUGGCUUUCCUUUUUGUGUGUGUUUGUUUUGUCUGACGCUCAAUUCUUUUUUGAGUUUUUGGAGUUACAAAGCAAAACCAAAUUGUGCUUAUUAAAAAACAAGUUUCCCAAACCACAUAAAUAAGUGAUUCUAAAAGGAAAUUUUUCAACCAUUUAUGACAUUUGCCUUUACUCCGAUUUUUUUUUCUUUUGGCUUUCUUUUUUUAUGUCCUUCUCCAAGCAUCCUUCUUCCCCCAACUUCCUGAGAUGUGACGCAGCAAUUUCAGUAACCUGUGUGUGUGUGUAUCAUAGGUUCCCAUUAGUGCCCUCCCCCAGUGGCAUUUAUAUGAUGAAAUUGAAGCUGUAUAGAUAAAAGUCAUAAGGCUCCAAUGCACAACCAAAAUAUAAACUCGUGAAGUUGCAUAGAUUUGUGGUUGCCUAUGUAGGUGUUGCAUCGUGGGUAAGGAUGUGCCUGACUUUUCUCUGUAUCAGCCUACAGUGCCCAGUACAGGGCCUGGCACCUCAUGUGACUCAAUAAAAGCUCUCUGAAUAAAUGAAUGAAGGAGAGAACAAAUGAAUGUUUCCCAUUUUUUUUCACAGCUUGAGGGAUCGUAGUUCCCCAACCAGGGAUAAAACCCGUGCCCCCUACAGUGGAAGUGACGAAUCCUAACCACUGGACCUCCAAGGAAUUCCCAACAAAUGGAUGUUUUAAUGACAGCACAUAUGGCUUCAGUUUCUUCAUCUGUAAAACAAUUAUGAUUUUAUUCUCAUCUAUGAGAGUGAGAGCUCUGAAGCAUGGGGAAUAGACUGUAUUCUAGCACCCAACAAACACACUGCCUGGCAGACAGGAUAUACGCAAUAAAGGUGAGUUGUCUGAAGUGAAUUCCUCGAGACUCCUAGCAGGGGUCUGAGAACGGCCGAAGCAAGGCCUAAACGUGCCCUGCCUAUUUCUUAGAGAAGGACAUUUUGCUGUUAAAUGACUGAAAUGGAUUGUGUUAUCCGCCACUUUUGCAGAGUCUGUGUGCAAAUUAUACGCCUGAGGCUCUAGGAAGUGGUCCCCAAGAGUUGGAAGCAUUCAGUGUCCUAGGGUAGCCCCAGGCCAGGCCCUCAGGGAGCUAUAAGGGAAACCAGGAUCCUCCACUCCCCCUGGGCUUCAAGACUAUAAAACUCGGUCAGACCCGGACCCAGCUUCCUUUGGAGAACUGAGGCUGGAACCACCCUAGGAUUCUGCUCCUCUCUACUGAGCACCUGCUAAGGGGGAGGAACUGGAAUGGGCUGCUGCUGCUUUUCAGGCAAAAGCCCCUUUAAUUGCUGUAAGGAAUCCAGGAGGGUAAAAGGACUGGAGGGGCUCCGACAGGGUUUCUCAUUUCUCUGGGGGAAGACUCGCCUGCCUUCCCACCUGCCUGGAAUCUACAGCUCUGAACAGUCUUUCAAAGAGCCUCCCUUUCCAGCGCUUUUCCCUCCUUCCCCAUCUCAUUUUCCCUCCUCCUCCCUCUCUCCGCAGCCUCCUUACCCACCGCAGCACCUACACAGAGUCGUCUCUCAAACAGCAUCUUUGAAUCAAAAACUGAAUGAGCCCGCUCCUUGCCCUCCCCUCCUCCCCCUGCCCCAAAGUCUCUCUCCCUCUCUCCCCUCCACACACACAUUUCCCUUCUGCCACCUUCACCACCAUCCAACACAGCAGCUUCCGGAAGCUAGUAGAGUCGUUAUCUUAUUUUGCUCCCAUAUCUGGGGAUCCCUGAAUGCUGCGGGCCGCCAGGUGGGAGGAGGGCCCCCGGAAAAAAGAUGGGUCCUUGGAAUGGGUCCUUCCUCAAAAGUGCCUUGCAACCAAUCCAUCUCUCUGCCACCGAUUUUCCAGAGUGAGAGAGGAAUUCCGCCCCCAGCUUUGUCAACAUCCCUUCCAUGUCCACCUAGUAGAGUGGCCCACCCAGCUGUACGCUUGGCCUGUCUUGUUUCCAUGGAGCCCAGCUGGGCCUCCGUGUGGCUCCCAUUCUCCCAAGCAUCUUGGUGGAGUUGGCAGCGAGUGACAGGCUGGGGUGCUGGAGGACCCGGCUGCCAGGGGAACAUCCAUCUCUAGGAGAGGAAAUCCCAUUGAGUGGGACCCCCUGCCCUGGGUUGCACCCCUCUGUUUGCAGGUGAAGCCAGGUCAACACAGGUCAGAGUUGUCUAGGAGGGUCAUGGGCCGCUAAGGAUGUGGGUGGAAGCAAGGAGGGGUGGCCCCACCCAUUUUAGUGCCGGGGUUGGGGAUGCUCCCAGAUUAAUUACAGGUGUAUGAGCCUAAGGUCUUCUGAGCACUGGGACCUGGAGUUCUCUAUCUCUCCCCACUCCCCUCCCUUCUCUAUCUGACUCACCGGAGCUUUCUACAGUCCUGCCAGGCUCCCCAAUCUCAGGAGCUGCAGCAAGGGACGGCUUUCCCUGGGCUUUGCCACGUCUUUCUAUUACAUUUGCAUUGUUUCUGCACCUCCCCCCAGUGACCCUGCCUUUGCCCCUACCUAAUUAUGAUGAUAAGAACUGCAACAAAAAUAAGCUAGUAUCCCAUGGCCGCUGAGCAUGCACGUCCGGAGCCUGUGCUCCGCAACGGGAGAGGCCACAGCAGUGAGAGGCCCGUGUACCGCAAGAAAAAAAAAAAAAAAAAGCUAGUAUCUAUUGAGUGUAUCAAACUUAUUAAACCUGAUUAACUCUUCCAACCACGUGGAGUAAGAAUUAUCAUCUGCAUCUUCUGGUUGGAGGAAUGGAGGCUUAGAAAAGUCAAGAAACUUGUCCACACCAUCACCCAGCUGGCGAGCGGCUCCGCAGAACUCGUGCCUCAGCCACUCCUGCCCACGAGGGCCAGCUUUGCAGUCUGGCUCCCUUUUGACAACUUCUCCCCAACCAGCUCUGUGUUCCAUCCAUCAGUCCUCCCAAUCAGCAAGUGUCUACAAACCCCAGUCCGGGCCUGGGCCCCUGGAGGGGCUCAAAAGGCUGGAAAGCCAUAGCCCCUGCCCUGGAGUUACUGAGGAGACAGGACAAAAACAGAGAAAUUCACACACAACCCCUGGCUGACCCCUGCCAAGCCACUUCCCUUCCCUGAGCCUCGGUCUCCUUACCUGCAAAAUGAGCGGGUUGCACCGGAAGGCUGCAAGUACGCAAUCCUACUCAUCUCUGAUCACCUGAGUGCACCCCACUUAAUUAGAAGGUAGGAACACUGAGGCCCAGGGAUUAGGGCCAUGCCAGAAAAAAGCUGGAGCAAAGUCAGAAAAGAAAAUCACAAGGUUUGACCCUUAGAAGAAAAUGGCUUUGUUAUUAAGAAUAGGACUAACACUCAAGAAUGAUCCCAGCGAGGGCCCGGAGCGGGUAGAUGGGGGGGCGCGUCUACUGCUCCAUCCUUUUGUAUCUGACAAAGCCCGAGAGAGCGUCAGCCUGGUGUGGGUUUCCCCUUAGUUCUUGGGCGCUCAAGGAAAAGUAAGCCGGUUGCUUCUGAUCCUUUCAUUUCCAGAGUACCGCAGGGUGCCCGGAGAGCAGAGAGGCUCCAAAUGAGGCAUUUCUAAGCCUUUUUCUUAGGAGCAAGAAAUGGUGUUUGAGUGUGGAGGAGUGACCGGGAUGAGGCACCUCCAGGUUUGGAGAUGAGGGGACUGACCCGAACUGGAGGCUGCCUUUCCUUCAGGGCAUCUGGGUAGGAACACACGCAGCUCGCAGCGUGGUUGCUUCCCCCGCCAUCCUACAGCAGCGGUGGCAGAGCGAGAUUCAAGCUCGUCUUUUCACUGCCGAUCCAGCCCUGUCUUCAAUACCAGGGCAUGACGCUCAGACUGCAAUUAUGGCUCUAUAGUCAGAAGUCCAUCUUUGUUCCACCUCUGAAAGAAGGUCCCUAUAAAUCACAGUAUAGACAAAGUGAGGUAAGGACUGUGGUAGGCUGAACAAUGGCUCCCCAAAGAGAUCCCUGGAACCUAUGCAUCCUCCUUUAUAGGGGACUAGGGACUGGCAGGUGUGAUCAGAGAAGGACCUUGAGAUGGGGAGAUUAGCCUGGAUUAGCCAGGUGGCCCUAAAUAUAAUCCCAAGGGUCCUUAAAGACAGAGGCAAGAAGGUAAAAGGGGAAGCAGGAGAUAUGAGGAUGGGAGCAAGAGGGUGUGUGCGUGGCGGGGGGAAGGGGUCAGGAGACGAACAUGGGUAGCCUCCAGGAGCUCACCUGGAGGAAACAUUCCAAAGCCUCCAGGACUCCUCCAGGUGAACAUUUUGAUUUUGGUCCAGUGAAACUGACUUCAGACUCCUGGUCUCCAGAACUCCAGUAAGAGAAUCAAUCUGGGUUGUUUUAAGUCACCAAUAUGUGGUCAUUUGUUAGAGCAGCUACAGGAAGCUUAUACAAAUGCUAUUUACCCACUGAUGAGAAUAAACUAAAGCAUUUCAAAUGUAUGUCUUCAGAUGUAAAUAAUUUAUGAUAAUUCAUUGUAAGCAGAAACCAUGAUGGCUUCUCUUGGCCGGUUCUUGGAUAUUUGGAUUAAAAAUCAUUUUAAGUUAGUGGUUAAAGCCAAAACUAUACCCUACCAGACUUGGCAAGGCCUAAUUUUAUAUUGGUGAUAUGCAACUUUUGUUUACGUAUUUGAAAGUAAGUUUUAAAAUCUCUCUAUCAGACUUCUACUAAUGCAGACUGCCCUCCCCUCAAUGCAUCUAGGAAGGAAGUAUACUUUAGUAUAUAGGACACAAAGACUAAUAUACUAAGCAAGGAGGAGAGAAUUAGCAAGUUAAUUGCCCUUACUUAUGUGUUCACUUCCAUCCUGGUGAAGAAUUAUUUGUUCAGUUCUGUCUGGAAUGGAGGUGUCUACUUAGAAAUAUGUAUCUUUUGGGCAGUAAUGUAUCAUAUGCAUGAUAUAACUAGCUGAUAAUUCUAGAUGUUAUAACAAGGCAAACGCACAAACCGUUAGCUUUGGGACCAGACGUGUAACUAAAAAGAAAAUUCAUGGUUUGCUAAUAUUAUUCUCCGAGAAGGAGGUAGCAUGUGGAUUUCAGCUUUUCAGUAUGUCUUGGAUGUGUUUGUGCUUUUGUGUAAUUGUUAUUCACAAAGAUGAUGUUUAGCACACAUAUUAUCCGAUUGGAAUUAUCACCGACUAUACAAAUUACUAUCUGGAAUAAUGGCUGUGUUGAUUGUAAUCCUUUUGCUGAUGAACAUGGGCUUGAACAAAAAAUACAAAAAUCUAAUCAGCACAGGCUAAGGUGCAAGUCAUGCCGUAACAGGGAAGAAAUUUUGUAUCCUAUUACAAGUUAAUCAGUAAAGGAAUGUUGCCUAUAAGCUUACAUUAUGCAUAAUGGCCCGUCUCUGGGAACUCUGUCUCCCAGGUAAUGAGCAUUAAGCUAAAAUACCUUUGUUUAGCUCACAGGAAACAUCCUGACCAGACCCACCAGUGAAUGACUACAAGAAAGAAGAAACUAGCACAUUCCCACCAAAGUCUGCCUGGAACCAGGACUUUACCCCCUCCCCUUUUAGUAUAGAAGAAGACUGAAUUCUAAUUCGGAGAAGGUAGUUCUUUGGGACACUAGUCCCCCAUCUUCUCCGUCUACUGGCUUUCCUAGUAAAGUCGCUAUUCCUUGCCUCAACAACUUGUCUCUCAGUUUAUCAUCCCAUCCUGGGGUGCACAGCACGAGCUUGGACUCAGUAACGAUGCUAUCAUGAGGUAUUAACCCGCUUGCUUUCCAAAGCAGCUAGUAAGUAUUCACCGGUGCUCACUGAAUAGUGAGUUAAGGACAGGGACAAUCAUUAGAUACUUAGAAUGGUCUUUACCAUUAUUUCCUGGUGACAGGAUUGCCAGCACCAUGGUGGGGCUCAAAGAAGUAUCAUCUGCUCUACCUUCCAGAACAACCGUAGCAACCUAAAUAUAAAACCUGGAAUAUAAAUCAACUACUUCUGUUCUAAUAAUUCCGACAUGGAAUUGGAAGACAGUUGGAGACGUCACUGAAGAGUAGAUGUGAGGCUUGAACCAGCCCUUAAAAGAGAGAAAGAAAUGAUCAAAUGAGAGGUAGACAUGGGGGGUGUACCUGAGGCCUGCAGUUGGAUCCUGCCAUAAACAGCUUGCAUGCUGUUGAAGUAAAUUUGGGGCCCCAUUAAAUAUCUUCUUUUUUUUUUAUAAAUUUAUUUUUAUUUAUUUUUGGCUGCAUUGGGUCUUCGUUGCUGCGUGCGGGCUUUCUCUAGUUGCGGUGAGCGGGGGCUACUCUUCGUUGCGGUGCGCAGGCUUCUCAUUGUGGUGGCUUCUCUUGUUGCGGAGCACGGGCUCUAGGUGUACAGGCUUCAGUAGUCGUGGCGCAUGGACUCAGUAGUUGUGGUGCACAGGCUCAGUUGCUCCGCGGCAUGUGGGAUCUUCCCGGACCAGGGCUCGAAUCCCUGUCCACUGCAUUGGCAGGCGGAUUCUUAACCACUGCGCCACCAGGAAAGCCCUAAAUAUCUUCUUUAUGUUAUCCUCAGGGUAAAAUAUAUAUAAACACUGCCAGAUACUUUUUUUUAAAGGCCCAGCUGCUGUUGCUUGUAGAUGGGCAUUGAUGUGCACACAGAAUGCCCGGGUGUGGUGCUGAGUUGUCAUCCCACAACUCCUGCUUUCCAAGGCAGAGAAGCACCACUACAGUGUGUUCUGUUACAGCCCAGACUGGUACUAACCUACAGGGGGUACAUUUUAGGAUUUGGUCUCUGUGUUUUGUUUGGGGUUUGUGGUAAUUUGGGAUGAGUGUCCUCAUGGACUGUUUUACAUGAUAUGGUUCAGAACCUGUUGUCUGACCUAUCCUGGUCAGUUUCAGCCCAGGAUGUGACUUUUGUCUCCCCCUCUAGAUUGUGGACCCCAGGACCACAUCUCACUCUUCUGCUACAUCCUCUUCCACACCUUGCCUGGUGCCAGGCCCAGAGGGAUGCACCCUAAACCUGAAUCAAAUUGCAAAGCCAAACAGAUGCCAGUGGAAGGAUUUGGUGGGAUUUAAUAGCAACCUAUGAACUUGGGAAGCUAGAGAGUAAGGGAGAAUGAGUCUUUCCUAUUAUUCAAAUUGUCUGAGUUGCUUUCCUUCCAUAUUCUUGUGUUGAAAUCACUGCUAGAAACCUUUCUUGUCUAAAACAGGUAAGUAACCACCUUCAAACAGCCAGGGGGUCUCUCUAAAGCUGCCAGGACCAUAUGUAGAGUUUUAAUGGCAACAGGCCACUGAUACAUUUUUCUUCCAUUCCACCUGGGGAAAAAUCCCCCAAGCCCACUUUACUCUGAGGCCAAUGGACAGAUAUGCGAAGGUCCACCUGUCAGUGUGGGCUGCUGGAGGGAGGACGUGGCUACUGAGUGUCUCAGAGCUGACUGCACGGAAGACAGCCCAGGCCUGGCUCUCUCAUCACACAUAGGACCAGGACAGGUCUGCCCACCCAGCCUGAGCCUCCCUGUGUGGCAUCGCCAAGCUGGGGGCUAUUUCCUCCCUUGCAGACCUGGAAGCAGUGAGUCUGACAGUGACAGCAAUCUGCCCUGACAAUCAGGUAUGAACACAGGUGGGAAGACCGAAACACCUGCCCCUUCCCGUGAGUACUGGGGCAGACGUGCAGCAGUGACGCCCCUUCCAGAAGCAAGGACACCUUCUUACCCCUUUGGUGACAUUUGCCUCUUGUAGAAGGGGCACUGCCCCGGGAAGGGCACAUGCCUUAGAUCAUAUAGUCGCAGGCAGUGGGGGACUCUUGGUCUGUGGCUCUAACCCACAGCUUUGCCCAUUGGGCCACACCACCCCGCUACUGCCUGUCACCUGUGCUAUCAUCAGCUCCAAGUGCUCUAUCUAGAAAGUGCUUCUCUCUCAUUCUCCCUUUUCUUUUUUUUGUUCCCUGGGUCUAUUUGUUUUUGUUUGUUUCUUGUUUAUUUUGUUCCAGGCACCCUUGUUGGGGAAGUAGACCAGGGAGGCCCCAGAUACCCGGGCUGGGUGGACUGCUAUCUCUGGUUGACACAUCUGCCUGCAGGGCUCGCUCCUCCCUCACAGCUGGCAGCUGCCCACCGGGAGAUGGCUGCGGCUUGGAAUCUGCAGCGGCCCAGCUGAGGGCUGGCUCCCCGCCCCUGCAGGUGGUGGAGAUGACGCCUCUGGAGUGCCAAGCCUCCCCCACAUCACCCCAACACACGCAGGGCCCUACAGCCCAUUUCUUCUCUCCUCCUGUGGUUUCUUCUUGCUGCUGUUUGGUCAAGAAGAGAGGAAAGACCCCGAGGCUGCACCCUGUUAUUAGGCGACAGUCAUUUACAUCCUCGAGCUCUAAGUCAGGGGUCAGGAAUGAACCCAAAAGUAGGCAUCGCUGGGGAGAACUGAGCACACCUGCUCUGGUUUGGGCAGGGCAGGCGGAGGUGGACGUGGAGCUCAAGACCCUUCCCGUCUGCCUCCCGUGCCUCAGUUUCCCCAUCUGAACCAUCUUCUCCAAAACAACUUACUGCUCUCAGAGCAGAAAAAUUGGAAGAACCUGAAAUAUUUAAAGAAAAAAAUCACCCACAAUUCUGCCAUUAAUAUCUUGCUGUUUUCAUCUAUCUUUUUCAUAUAACUGAAUCACCCUGCCUAUGCAAUGAUGGACCCUGUUUUUAAACAACAACCUUUCCAUAAUGAACAAGUCAUACAUGUUCAUUAUGGAACAUUCAGAAAAUUCAAACACAAAGAAGGAAAAUGACUUUUUGCUGCUCCCUUGAGAAAUAACAAACAGUAAUGUUUUGAUGUUGUCUUUCUGGUCUUUUUAAUAAGCAUGAUAUACCAAAAGGAAAAAUAACGCACAGUAUUCACACUUUCCAUACUUUUGGGCAACUUUUCCUUUUUCCCUUAACUCAGCGUGAAUAAUUUUUAUAUUAUUAUAUGUUCUUUUGCCUCAUUUAUGAUGACAGAA